GGACUACCAGGGUUUCUAAUCCUGUUUGCUCCCCACGCCUUCGCUCCUCAGUGUCAGUAUUAGUCCAGAGUAGCGCCUUCGCCACUGAUGUUCCUCCUGAUCUCUACGCAUUUCACUGCUACACCAGGAAUUCCCUACUCCUCUACCAUACUCUAGCUCUACAGUAUUAAAUGCACGUCCCAGGUUAAGCCCAGGGUUUUCACAUCUAACUUAUAGAACAACCUACAAGCCCUUUACGCCCAAUAAUUCCGAUUAACGCUUGCACCCUCUGUAUUACCGCGGCUGCUGGCAC
rnacentral:rRNA from 1 species